rnacentral:rRNA from 1 species
GAUCAUGGCUCAGGAUGAACGCUGGCGGCGUGCCUAACACAUGCAAGUCGAGCGAAGCGAUCGAGAUGAAGUUUUCGGAUGGAUUCCUGAUUGACUGAGCGGGCGGACGGGUGAGGUAACGCGUGGGUAACCUGCCUCAUACAGGGGGAUAACAGUUAGAAAUGACUGCUAAUACCGCAUAAGACCACAGCACCGCAUGGUGCAGGGGUAAAAACUCCGGUGGU